GGUGUGUAACGGGCUUUGCAGGCGUGGUUCCCUUGCGUACUCUGAAUAAAUUCAAUUCAACCGCUGAAAACCCUCCCACUUACUGACCAGCUGAUUUUCUAAUGGAGUUUUCAUUCAAUCAGGGGUGACCAAGGACAUUUCACCCUCAGUCCAAGUGAGUAAUUUUGCAUUACAUAUUUGGCAUGAUGUUAAAUUGCUUCACAUUCUCAUGCUUAUUGUAGGUAGAUGGAGUAAUUUAGUAAUUGUGGAGGAAGUAUGUAUCUCUCUCUUUAUUUUAGAUUCUGAACGUGGACAGAGAGAACUAUGCUGCACUGAGCUUCUCAAUAAACAGAUCUGAGUGUGGAAGAGGGAGAGGGCAGUGUGGAGAUGUUUGUUUAUGCUCCAAUACAGCAACAGCUGUGAAAUAGUGUUGUUUGAAUAUAUUAACAUUCCAUAAUGUAUGUCAUGUGUAAUUUUGCCAGAAUUGAAUAUUUUUUUAAAUGUUAUUUCAAUAAAGAUGCAUUUAUUUUUUUAAUGUAUAAUUGCACUCACUGGUGAAGGCUAUGUUUUAACGUGGCUGAGUAAAAAUGCCAUCAAAAUAAAAGUAAAUAAAACAUACCUAUCUCUCCAAGAAGCAAAAA